rnacentral:rRNA from 1 species
AGUGAACGCUGGCGGUAGGCCUAACACAUGCAAGUCGAACGGCAGCACAGUAAGAGCUUGCUCUUACGGGUGGCGAGUGGCGGACGGGUGAGGAAUACAUCGGAAUCUACUUUUUCGUGGGGGAUAACGUAGGGAAACUUACGCUGAUACCGCAUACGACCUACGGGUGAAAGCAGGGGAUCUUCGGACCUUGCGCGAUUGAAUGAGCCGAUGUCGGAUUAGCUAGUUGGCGGGGUAAAGGCCCACCAAGGCGACGAUCCGUAGCUGGUCUGAGAGGAUGAUCAGCCACACUGGGACUGAGACACGGUCCAGACUCCUACGGGAGGCAGCAGUGGGGAAUAUUGGACAAUGGGCGCAAGCCUGAUCCAGCCAUACCGCGUGGGUGAAGAAGGCCUUCGGGUUGUAAAGCCCUUUUGUUGGGAAAGAAAAGCAGCAGGUUAAUACCCCGCUGUUCUGACGGUACCCAAAGAAUAAGCACCGGCUAACUUCGUG